UGUGAUAAUUGUAAGAACAAUGUUGUAAUAACUAUGUUAAAAUCGGAUUGUAUUUGGAAGUUAAGUGAAAGCUAAUGUAAGAAUCAAAUGAGAUUUGUAAUGUAAAAUGUAAUAUGUGAGAUGAAUGCUUGUAAUAGCAAGUAGAUUAUGUUUUGAUACUUCCUUAUGCAAUCUUUGCUUGAAAUGUGUUCCUGGUUGGAACUCCGUACAUUGUAUUGAUUGCGACGCCUUGAACGUACAGGGGAGACUCUGUCCGCGGUACAGGGGAAACCCUGUCCGUUUGGCGGUCUGUUGGC
rnacentral:lncRNA from 1 species